rnacentral:rRNA from 1 species
GACGAACGCUGGCGGCGUGCUUAACACAUGCAAGUCGAACGGAAAGGCCCUGCUUUUGUGGGGUGCUCGAGUGGCGAACGGGUGAGUAACACGUGAGUAACCUGCCCUUGACUUUGGGAUAACUUCAGGAAACUGGGGCUAAUACCGGAUAGGAGCUCCUGCUGCAUGGUGGGGGUGGGAAAGUUUCGGCGGUUGGGGAUGGACUCGCGGCUUAUCAGCUUGUUGGUGGGGUAGUGGCUUACCAAGGCUUUGACGGGUAGCCGGCCUGAGAGGGUGACCGGCCACAUUGGGACUGAGAUACGGCCCAGACUCCUACGGGAGGCAGCAGUGGAGAAUAUUGCACAAUGGGCGGAAGCCUGAUGCAGCAACGCCGCGUGCGGGAUGACGGCCUUCGGGUUGUAAACCGCUUUCGCCUGUGACGAAGCGUGAGUGACGGUAAUGGGUAAAGAAGCACCGGCUAACUACGUG